rnacentral:tRNA from 1 species
AGGAUAAAAGUUUCAAACAUUUAAUUUGCAUUUAAAAAAUAUCAGUUUAACUGAUUUAUCUUA